AGCAGGAAAAAAAAAAAUGGAAAAAUGCUCAUUAGACAAAAAGAAAAGCAAAAAUAGUGGAAACUUUUUCAAAGGAUCAAAAGGAAAAUCACUGCUAAUGUCCAAACUCACUAUUACAUCCAACAAUAUGCUUUAUCUUAACCAUCCAGUUCCCACUUAUCAAGAUAUUCCACUAUCAAACAUAAGGUUCAAAUUCACCAAAAACCCAGAAUAAAAAGCACCUAAAUCUCUUUACAUGCCUUAAUUUUACAAGGCUGACAGUCCCUAAUAAGCAGCCAAAAAUAAAUUUUCUGCCCCAUAGUCAAAUGUAUUUUCAGAACUCAAAUCAUAAACCAACAGUUUUAGCCAUAUAAUAUUUUUCAUAGUAGCUUUCCAAUAAAA
rnacentral:misc_RNA from 1 species